UGCGCCAUUCCAAAUCGCGGUGCCCGCCAGCAGGAAGCGACGGAGGCACCAGAUUUCCCUUCCGCAUUAAGAGGGUUUUUUCCUUUUUUUCCUGCUUGGCCGACGGAGAGCUUUUUAAAUUGGACGUGGAGAUCCUCAAUUAGAAGUGUGGAGAAGCUGGCAAAAGAGGAAACAGCGGAAAAGUCGCCGCUUCGCCAGAGGAGGCUCUGGGCUCUCGUUCCCGCCCGAGGCUGGGUGCAGCGCAGGCCGGGAAAGCGCUCUCCCGCCUCCCCCGCGGCAGGGAGGGCGCAUUCUUCCCUGCGCGCACCGCCGGGGCGGCCCCGCUCGCAGCGGCUCUUUAGUUCCCGGUAUUUGCUGGGCGGAGGAGGAGGAGGGGAUUGGGGCGCUGAGCAUACACAGUGGUCUACUAGGAAGCUUUUCUCCGGGCCAGUGUGGGCCCCCCACACCCCGCUGCUUCCCGGUUUGUCUCUUUAUCUCUUUCUCCAAAGCACGGCAGCGGGACGUGUUUGUGCCGCAACCCGCCGCCUUUGCUGCGCGCGCCAACUGCUUAACGCGCUGCCUCGUGCGGUAACCGCGUUCUCCUCCCGAAGUCGGCUCCGCAGGUGCCCCCGCACUCACUCUUGCACCCCACAGCCUGCUCCCCCUCUGCGCCCGGGACCAGAGCGCCCCGCAGGGCAAAGGGGGCGCAUCACGGGCGCCCGCACCCGGUGGUCCCCAGGCCCGCGGCGGAAAGGGCGCCCUGGAGGGCCCCAGCGCCCACAGAAGCCGCCGCUCGCGGUGGGGCGCUUCUGGGUUCCCAGCACCAGGGGGCACCAGAAACCGUCCGAGUCCCUUAGCGCCCACGCGAAUGAGAAGCUGCGUCGUCAUUUUAAGUAUCAAAUCAGUGAACAAGCACCCCCGGUCCCCCCACAAUCCUCCCCAAAUCCAAAUUACCCCCGAACUUCCGGAUGUGCUCACCAGCAUGCCUGCUUUUCAGGUUCCUACCCUCCAUCCUCUCUCCCCAGUUUCGCCCUUCCCACCUCACCUGAUCUGGUUUCUCGGUAA
rnacentral:lncRNA from 1 species